GAUGAACGCUGGCGGCGUGCUUAACACAUGCAAGUCGAACGAAGCAUUUGCGACAGAUUUUUUCGGAAUGAAGUUGCUUAUGACUGAGUGGCGGACGGGUGAGUAGCGCGUGGGUAACCUGCCUUGUACUGGGGGAUAGCAGCUGGAAACGGCUGGUAAUACCGCAUAAGCGCACAAUGUUGCAUGACAUGGUGUGAAAAACUCCGGUGGUAUAAGAUGGACCCGCGUCUGAUUAGCUAGUUGGUGAGAUAACAGCCCACCAAGGCGACGAUCAGUAGCCGACCUGAGAGGGUGACCGGCCACAUUGGGACUGAGACACGGCCCAGACUCCUACGGGAGGCAGCAGUGGGGAAUAUUGCACAAUGGAGGAAACUCUGAUGCAGCGACGCCGCGUGAGUGAAGAAGUAAUUCGUUAUGUAAAGCUCUAUCAGCAGGGAAGAUAGUGACGGUACCUGACUAAGAAGCUCCGGCUAAAUACGUG
rnacentral:rRNA from 1 species